rnacentral:lncRNA from 1 species
UAAGCAACAACUUCUGAUAUCAUAACCAAUUGUUGUCACUAUCUGUCUUAAAGUAAGUUUGAUAUCAUCAAUAGUAGGAACAGGUGUUGUAGGCAUCAUCAUCUGCGCUUGUUUGUUCUUUCUGUUUGUUAGUGUUGCAUCACCUGCCCUGGUAUCUGGUAUUAUGGUCCCCAUCUUCUUGGUUUGGACAGGUAAGAUCUCCAAGGAAGUUUC